rnacentral:tRNA from 1 species
AUUUUUUUAGUAUAAAAGUACAGAUGACUUCCAAUUAUCAAGUUUUGGUUAAAAUCCAGAAAAAAAUA